CGUAGCUUUCAGUCUCUGGCAUUGCUCUGUUGACAGAAUUCAUUUUGUCUUUAUGAACAUAAGUCUCCGUUUUUUCUGUUUUCUUCACUGCCUCUUGAGCGUCUACAGAUUCUCUGAAGGAGCCACUAACGACGUGGUUUACACUCACAGGUCUAUAGAAACAGAAACCCACAAUACCAUUAAGAACCAAAGAUGCUGUAUCUGGGACACACCAAAAAUUAAGUAGAGGAAUUGUUGCAGAAUGGAUGUUCACACAGAUGGCGCUAUUUUACCAGGAAGAUGUAGUCCAUAAAAGACUCAGGCCAAUGUUCUGCACAGUGCAGGUGGAGCUGAGAUGCCCUGUAUAAUGAGAAUAGAAUGACCGAGAAAGCCAGGCAUGCAGCAGGAGCCUGUAUAGCCCCAGCAAUUGGAAGUGGAGCGAAAAAAUAAGAUACAAUUUCCUAAACACAUGAAACUCAAGAAAAAUGAAGACUGAAGUGUGGACACUAU
rnacentral:lncRNA from 1 species